GGACACAAACCCCCAACAAAAAUACAACACAUCAAGGGUACGUUUGUCAUUUUGCUCUCCAACAAACCUCCCACACGUGAAUGAUGUCACUUUUCUUUUACUUUUUAUAUGUUUCUUUAUCACACGCAGGAAGAGAAAGAAGAACAACUUGCUCUUCACCAUUCACGUCCCCUCUUCUCUCCUCUCUGCCAAACCCCUAUUCUCCCUCCACCACCAUUCAUCGAUGCCAUCGAUCUCCCACUACAACUUGUUCUAAUCGAAUUAUAUCAUUUGAUUUGAUGCAGAUUCGAUUUGAAACUGUUGAUUAUUGCUGAAUUUGGGGUAAAUUUUUGGAUUCAAGUUCCUAUACACAAGGAUGAAUAGGUAGGUUGUUAGUGAGUAACUCAGACUUUGAUAAAAGUAUGACACUGGUUGAGUUUUACUACACCAUGUACAAAAAGUUCAGCUCCUUUACAAGGUUAAGUCCACCCUUCAACUUCACUAGUUUUGUUCAUUCUUUUAAAGAAUGAGAUAGCAGGUUCAUGUAUCUGAAUCGUAGAAAAUUGUUGUAUAACUAUACUGAAGAACGUUUUCUUAUACGCAUAGUAUUAUGAGUAAGGGUGGGUGCUCAGUUUCAGAAGAGUGCAUUGAAGACAAUGAUAGGACGCGUUACUCAGCUUAAGGAUAUAACGAAUGGAUCAUUGUGGCUUUUUUCACAGUACUAGAAAAAUUUGCAGAUGUAGUUACUGGGUGGGUGACCUUGUAUAGAGAAUUGAAGCUUGCUCUCUUUGUUUACAUGUGGUAUCCCAAAACUAAGCAUAAGCUGACAAGCGGCUAAGCAUGCACAUGCUUCAGAUGUGCAAUCAACACUAGAUGACGAUGCUUGAACACAAUGACAGCAGGAUGAGGAUGUUGGCUUAUCAUCAUUUUGCUAUCAUGAGAAUUGUUUAUUGCAUAUGUACUUGGUAUUUGUAUCAUAUUGUGUAUGGGAUGUAAUGAUGCUCACCUAUUUCAAUUUAGAGCUAAAUUGUAAUUUUAAACUUUGGUGACAGUGAAUGCAAUGCAUUAGAGGAAACUCUAAGUUUAGUAUAAUUAUAUCUAGUAUUAAGAAUUUGUUAAGUUUACAUUCCACAUCUAUAUUUGUUAAGUUUAAGUAGUUAACCAAAUAUGUUGUACAACUUCCCAGUUAUCUAAAAUUGACAUUGACUCCCCACAUCUAUAUUGUUAAUAAUUUAAAGGAAUCUCAUUAUUUAUUCACGA